UACGGAGGGAGCAAGCGUUACUCGGAAUUACUGGGCGUAAAGGGCUCGUAGGCGGCCAACUAAGUCAGACGUGAAAUCCCUCGGCUUAACCGGGGAACUGCGUCUGAUACUGGAUGGCUAGAGGUUGGGAGAGGGAUGCGGAAUUCCAGGUGUAGCGGUGAAAUGCGUAGAUAUCUGGAGGAACACCGGUGGCGAAGGCGGCAUCCUGGACCAAUUCUGACGCUGAUGAGCGAAAGCCAGGGGAGCAAACGGG
rnacentral:rRNA from 1 species